CUGUUUUAUGUUGUAUUUCGUUUCCUUCACUAAAAUUUUAUGCAUUUCAAAACUUUUCCAAUGUGAACAGAAAUCUGAGCACAUAUGGUUUCAAGAACAAGGCCACUGGGAAAACAGUAUGAAUAUCUUCAUGGGGAGGCCAACUACAAAAUCUUCAACAACACCAGUCUACCUGCACAUGCAUCAAUUAGCUGUGAUCUGUAACAAUCACAAGUUGUAUUUGAUCAGAUCAUUACAAUGUAAAGAAACAAGAAUUACACAGUUCAUGGAACGAACAUUGAGUAUAAAGGAGAAAAGAGAAAAGAAGGAACUGGGAAAAUACUUAUUCACACAAUUUUCACACAUUCACCUAUUAAUUAAUUUGAUCGUUGGAGUCUAUGUGAUAAAAUAUUAUAAGAAUGUGAAAUUAUUUGCGUAACUCAUUUAGUAAAAAAUGUAAAGUUACUAAGUUGGAGAGAAAAAUUAUGUAAGUUGUAAAAAGUAAAAAUGAGUGAUAUUAGUGUAUAAUAGUGAGAUCCAUUUAAAAUGUAUAAAUAAAAAAUAAAAAACGCUAGGAUGGAGAUGUUCUUACUCCCUGAAGGAGCAGGAGGAAUCGUGCUGAGUUAGAUAGAGCAAUGGGAAAUUUUUCUUGGAUUGGUGUUGAACAAUUUGCAAAUACUUUUACAAGUUUUUUUUUUAAAAAAAUUUUGAAAUGUAACUUUGUGACAAAUUUUGCGGAAUAACAUUGAACAAACCUUCUUGUUGUUCUUUCAGAAAAAAAAAAAAGAAAAAAAAAAACACCUUCAUUGCAAUCAGCUCUUCAUUCAAUUGUUCUUUAGCAUGUUCUGAAAACUUUCAACUCCUACGUUAACAUAGAGUAAAAUCAUUUUCAGCCACACCCG
rnacentral:lncRNA from 1 species